UACGUAGGGGGCAAGCGUUGUCCGGAAUCAUUGGGCGUAAAGAGCGUGUAGGCGGCCCGAUAAGUCCGCUGUGAAAGUCCAGGGCUCAACCCUGGAAUGCCAGUGGAAACUGUCGGGCUAGAGUCCGGAAGAGGCGAGUGGAAUUCCUGGUGUAGCGGUGAAAUGCGUAGAUAUGCGGAGGAACACCGGUGGCGAAGGCGGGCAUACUGGACCACCACUGACGCUGAUGCGCGAAAGCCAGGGGAGCCAAAGCGGG
rnacentral:rRNA from 1 species